rnacentral:rRNA from 1 species
UACGUAGGGGGCAAGCGUUGUCCGGAUUUAUUGGGCGUAAAGAGCGUGUAGGCGGCCAGACAGGUCCGUUGUGAAAACUCGAGGCUCAACCUCGAGACGCCGAUGGAAACCGUCUGGCUAGAGUCCGGAAGAGGAGAGUGGAAUUCCUGGUGUAGCGGUGAAAUGCGCAGAUAUCAGGAGGAACACCAAUGGCGAAGGCAGCUCGCUGGAACGGUACUGACGCUGAGGCGCGAAAGCGUGGGGAGCGAACAGG